UACGGAGGAUCCAAGCGUUUAUCCGGAUUUAUUUGGGUUUAAAGGGUGCGUAGGCGGCUUUUUAAGUCGGUGGUGAAAAUCCUGGAGCUCAACUCCAGAACUGCCUUCGAUACUGAGAGUCUCGAGUCGGGAGAGGUGAGUGGAACUGCGAGUGUAGAGGUGAAAUUCGUAGAUAUUCGCAAGAACACCAGUGGCGAAGGCGGCUCACUGGCCCGGUACUGACGCUGAGGUGCGAAAGCGUGGGGAGCAAACAGGG
rnacentral:rRNA from 1 species